UUCGCAAUGCCCGAAAGGGUGACGAAGCGACGCCGCGUGGGUGAGGAAGGCCCUCGGGUUGUAAAGCCCUGUCAGGAGUUAAGAAAUGUAAGUGUGUUAAUACCACAUUUAUUUGACGAAGGCUCCAAAGGAAGCCACGGCUAACUCUGUGCCAGCAGCCGCGGUAAUACAGAGGUGGCAAGCGUUGUUCGGAAUUAUUGGGCGUAAAGAGCACGUAGGUGGGUUUGUAAGUCAGAUGUGAAAGCCUUCUGUUCAACGGAAGAAUUGCAUCUGAAACUGCGAAUCUUGAGUGUAGGAGGGGAGAAUGGAACUUCUGGUGGAGCGGUGAAAUGCGUAGAUAUCAGAAGGAACGUCGGCGGCGAAAGCGAUUCUCUGGCCUAUUACUGACACUGAGUGUGCGAAAGUUAGGGGAGCAAACGGGAUUAGAUACCCCGGUAGUCCUAACCGUAAACGAUGGGCACUAAGUAGAGGGGUUUU
rnacentral:rRNA from 2 species